rnacentral:rRNA from 1 species
ACGCUCGACACCUACGGGAGGCAGCAGUGAGGGAUAUUGGUCAAUGGGGGAAACCCUGAACCAGCAACGCCGCGUGAGGGAUGACGGCCUGGUUGUAACCUCUGUCCUCUGUGAAGAUAAUGACGGUAGCAGAGGAGGAAGCUCCGGCUAACUACGUGCUAGCAGCCGCGGUAAUCUGAGCGGGCUGGCAAGGC